rnacentral:lncRNA from 1 species
GGAGGUAAUGGUGGUGGUGGAGGAUCACAAUCAUCACCAAGGAUCCGAACUGUGGACAUAAAGCCGAAAAGGUGAGAGAGACUAACUACCUUUGACAAAGAAAGUGAAGUUAAAGCAAUUUCAUUUACUAAUAUAUGAGAGAACCACAUUGGAGAUUCCCUAAAGCAGUUUGGUUAAAGGAGCUUACCAUGGAAACCCAUUUUUUCAUUUGGGGGGGAGUUUAAGGUAUAGAUGGGAUGAAAAGAAGCAGGCAAUGCUUUCAAGUGUAAAUUGCAGAAGAAGCAAAAAAAAGAGACAUUUUGCUGUUGUGGUGUUGUAAGUAAUUCCAGCCACAGCUAAGACCAACC